AUGAAGACUGUGCUUGUCUAAGGCAUACCCACAACCGGUGUAAAGCAAAAGGGUACGAAACCUUAAUUCGAGCGAUCAGGGGGCUCCGGUGGCAGUUUGAUGAACGUCGGCAAAUCCCAUUCAAGCUUCAACCUUCUUGCACAUGAUUCGGUCAUUGCGCUCUUGCCAAAUCCUGUUGAUUACAGUAGAUAGCACAAGCUUGUUGACUGAAUUCUUUAAGUUAUUACUUGACCAGCGAAUCAACACUUGAUUAACCAAAUUGCUUUACCGAGAAGGGGAAAAAUGAAAUUUACAUUUGUUUUGGAGGGCGAUCCAAAUUGGUUGAGUAAAAGAGCAGGCGAAGAACAAGUGAUCGUGGGUUUCAUCAACAAGACUGCAAAGAUGACACACUCUGGAGCCCGUGUAAUGACUCAUACUUGCUCCAUCAAGGGUGGAAAGCCUUCUUUGUACUACAAGCCACAAGGUAAAUUUGCAUCUUGGGAUGGAGAGGUUGUUCCAAAUCAGGUGUUGCCAAGGUUUUGGGUGGCUGUGUGCCUCAAGCCAUGCAAUUGUGUAACUCAGUGAGUAUUCCCCUGUAGGUGAUGGAAUCCAAAUGAAAAAGUCGACAUUGGAGAUCGGAGGAGGAAAAUUACUAAUCUCAAGGAAACGUUGAAUGAGGAAGUCUGGGAAAAUCCAUUCUCCACCAAAUUCUUUUGGUUGACAGCAGGCAAUCCAAGUCACCUUAGCUCCAGUGUGCUUAAAUUCCGAGCCAGACCAAAGGAAAUUUCUCAUAAGGUUGGUGACCUCAGCUAAUACUGAUUUAAGUAAGAGAAUAGGCUGGACCAAUAGUUUAUCAUACUGUAGAGGACUGAUUGGAUCCGUUGGAUUUUGCCUGCAUAGGAAAGAAACUUAGAUGACCAAUGGUUAAUCCUUUUAGUGAUCCUCUCUACUAGACCUCAACAAUCAUCUGCUUUUAGCCUAGUGGAGAGCAGAGGGACACCCAAGUAUUUUAUAGGUAGUGAACCACAAUUAAACCCUGGUAGAUCCUUGAUGCUAUUAUUGAGAGCUGAGCCCAUUCUAGAGACAAAGAAGGAAUUUUUUGAGUUGUUGGUUUUCAUUCCCGAGAGGACAGAAAAAUGGUCUAGGGCAUGCUUAAAUGUGGAUAAAGAGGCGAGGUCUCCAUGGUUGAAGAGAAGUAGGUCAUCAGCAAAAAUAAGAUGUGAGAUAACCAAAUUUCUACAUCUUGAGUGGAAUUUGAAGUGAUGAGCGCUGAAAAGUGCUUAUCCCCAAAAUAAGCUAAUUCUGCCAAAUAAGAGCUUAAAAGAAGCUAACUCAAGCUGGAUGGAAGAAAGGAGCAAAGUGGAAGCGGAAUGAAACAAAGUGUGAAAAUCAGCAUGUUCGAUCGAUCUCAAGAAUACUCUGAUCGAUCGAAAGUUCAUCGAUCUAGACUCUCCAAGAUGGAUCCAAGCUCUUUUGUCCUUAUCCAAAGAUCCCACAAAGUUUGAUCGAUCCAACAAUUCUCAGAUCGAUCGAGAAGAUUCCAUUUUAUCCUGUUGUACCACCCUACCUACCACUUUUGUCUCUUUCCCCAAAAUAUCUCAGAUCUGUCCUUAUCCAAAAAGGCGCCGCUAUGGGAGGAUCGAUCCAGCCAAUGUUUGAUAAAUCUCAGCUAAGUUCGAUCGAUCUCAGCAUAAGUUCGAUCGAUCGAACCCUCUCAAGUGCGAAUUAAAUUAAUUUCCAACUCAUUAAGAGUUGUCUCAUUGUGCAAUCAUUGGAGGAGCCCCUGUGUACAAGCCUAGACCAUUGGGUGUGACAUUUGAGCUACCUAUAUAAGGAUUAUGAGCCACUUUUACAUAUAUGCUUUUUAGGAGUUGAUAGAUAUAAUUUUUUAUUAUUCUUAGAGAGGAAGAAAAGAUAAGAGGAGGCUAGAGACACAUUCUUGGGAGGUCUUCCAUCUACUUCAAGAAGAAGAGUAUUUCUACCAUGGAGAUAGCCCUUGAGGGUUGGAGGACACCAUUCAUGAGUGGCUAGACAUCCUCUUGGGGCUAGAGUUAGCCCCAAGCAUGCUUUCUUUACCUUGAUUUAUGUAUUUUUGAGGGGAUUUGUGUAGUAAUACAUGUUUUGACAUCUUUAUAUACAUAGAUCUUGUUUAUUCAAUGAUUUGUGUGGUUUAAUUCUUCCAAUUGAUC